rnacentral:lncRNA from 1 species
GUCCCAUCAUGAAUCGGGCCCAUGAAGAGUUGCUUCUUCAUGUCAAUGGUCUUCACACAGGAUCAUCCUGUGCAUGGCAGGAAAGAGAAGGACACAUGGGACGAUGGAAUUCCUUUAUGCACGCUUCUCCAAAACAUCAGUGCAAUAUUUUCCACAAAUGGAAUGAAUAUGAGAGAAACCUUUCAAUUUUCCUUCUCUUUCUCACUCACAACCUUAUUAAUUAUAGAAGAAAACAGGAACAUUAAAUAUACAGUUUUGAAUAUAGCUUGCACACAGGAUAUGAUGCUUCUUAUCUUGCUCAGUGCUUGAAGGUCAUGGUUGGAGGCCUGUCUUGAAACUGGGAGGAAGAUUUGUCCUGGAUU